GGGGAAUCUUAGACAAUGGGGGCAACCCUGAUCUAGCCAUGCCGCGUGAGUGAUGAAGGCCUUAGGGUUGUAAAGCUCUUUCAGUGGGGAAGAUAAUGACGGUACCCACAGAAGAAGCCCCGGCUAACUCCGUGCCAGCAGCCGCGGUAAUACGGAGGGGGCUAGCGUUGUUCGGAAUUACUGGGCGUAAAGCGCACGUAGGCGGAUCGGAAAGUUGGGGGUGAAAUCCCGGGGCUCAACCCCGGAACUGCCUUCAAAACUAUCGGUCUGGAGUCCGAGAGAGGUGAGUGGAAUUCCGAGUGUAGAGGUGAAAUUCGUAGAUAUUCGGAGGAACACCAGUGGCGAAGGCGGCUCACUGGCUCGGUACUGACGCUGAGGUGCGAAAGCGUGGGGAGCAAAC
rnacentral:rRNA from 1 species